AGAGGCCCUCCCCAUGGAGGCAGGGCGCAGAAACCAGGAUCUGGAGUGGGAAGGGGGAUUGCUCCACGCAGUGAAUUGCUCUUCACUGAUCUUCAUGAACCAUAAAAACCCCAGCUUCUGCAGAAGGGUGAAUUUCUUCAACCAGCCUUAUAAACUGCUUAAGUUUGUGCAGUUUUACUUCUUUUUGUGUUAAUGGUGUGUGCUCCCUCCCUUUUCCCUUCUCCUGGCCUUUUAGUCCUUCACUUCCAGUCUUGUGGAACGCUAUUUUAGGAGUAACGAAUUUUUAAAGAAGAAAAAACGAAAAGACUGAAUUUCCUUGCUUGCUUUGCAUAUACAGACUGGAAUUAAAAAAAAAAAGCCAUUUCCCCCAAAGGAAUGUGUCUUGCUUAUUACUGACAUUUGGUAUGUUUCAUUCAUUGGAAUAUUUCUUACUUGUUUUCUACGUGUUUCAAAGCCUGCGAGGAAUGAGGAUUUGAUAAGCACUUUGGAGGCAGGAAAAAUCCAAAUUGUUUAUUUUUUGAGACUUACGAUUACCUUCUGAUGUGGAAAAAUUGCCAUUGGAAAAUUUGACAUUUGAUUUCUCCCUGAUGUGGUUAAAAACUGAAUGAAAGGUGUUAAUAGAACUUUUUUCUUUUGAUAUGUGAUCACAAAAUAAUUCUAAAACCUACUGUUUUUACCAUUGAAAUUUAAACUGUGAGAUAGGUUUUAAGUGUCUAGAAUGCAAUUAAUAGGCUUUUCUUGAACUGUUAGAUUCUUUUGAAGUAGAGUUUUUUCAUAUUUCAUUUGUAUUUGUUUAAAAAAGAAGAAAAAUCCCCCUAACCAAAUAACAACCAGGGCAAAAACUGUUGUGCCUUCUAUUUAUCUUUGGUUUCAAUCUUGGCAGUUGUUUAAAGAAAAAAUAAUAAAAAGAAUUA
rnacentral:lncRNA from 1 species